rnacentral:sRNA from 1 species
UGCUACUGAUCUUGGUUGUUUUAUUUCUUUCGACCCUAAUUUUCAUCCGAAAUAAGAAUGGCGUUGUGCUCGGAUCUGCAAACUUAUUGUUGUGCCUGGAAGGAUGUAUACCCAGGUCGUGUUGAUGUCAGUUCCACAUCAAUGGACGAGACCAGUGUUGGAACGAGUUUUUCUUUACAUUGUAACUCAACAUGUUAACUUCGUUUAUGCAAAGAUUCGCCUUAAGCGCGAUUUGUGCGCUGUAUCUUUACCCUUCACUAAACAUUUUAUUGUGUCC